rnacentral:rRNA from 1 species
AUGAACGCUGGCGGCGUGCCUAAUCCAUGCAAGUCGAGCGAACAGACGAGGAGCUUGCUCCUCUGACGUUAGCGGCGGACGGGUGAGUAACACGUGGAUAACCUACCUAUAAGACUGGGAUAACUUCGGGAAACCGGAGCUAAUACCGGAUAAUAUAUUGAACCGCAUGGUUCAAUAGUGAAAGACGGUUUUGCUGUCACUUAUAGAUGGAUCCGCGCCGCAUUAGCUAGUUGGUAAGGUAACGGCUUACCAAGGCAGCGAUGCGUAGCCGACCUGAGAGGGUGAUCGGCCACACUGGAACUGAGACACGGUCCAGACUCCUACGGGAGGCAGCAGUAGGGAAUCUUCCGCAAUGGGCGAAAGCCUGACGGAGCAACGCCGCGUGAGUGAUGAAGGUCUUCGGAUCGUAAAACUCUGUUAUUAGGGAAGAACAAAUGUGUAAGUAACUAUGCACGUCUUGACGGUACCUAAUCAGAAAGCCACGGCUAACUACGUG